rnacentral:lncRNA from 1 species
AUGAAAACAUACAGAAUAUCGGAGGAAUUUUAGAGAGAGAAAGUAGAGAGAAGGGAGAGGAUCGAAGAGUCUCGAAGAAGAGACUGUAAAAUAUCUCUGAUAAAAAUGAGUGCCUCGGUCCAGACAAACGACCCCUGACCCCUUAUAUCAAAUGACCCCUUUACAUAUGUGGCCUAUUUACAUGACAUAGCCUAAUUACAGGAAUAG